rnacentral:rRNA from 1 species
AACGAACGCUGGCGGCAUGCCUAACACAUGCAAGUCGAACGAGACCUUCGGGUCUAGUGGCGCACGGGUGCGUAACGCGUGGGAACCUGCCCUUAGGUUCGGAAUAACUCCCCGAAAGGGGUGCUAAUACCGGAUAAUGUCUUCGGACCAAAGAUUUAUCGCCUUUGGAUGGGCCCGCGUUGGAUUAGCUAGUUGGUAGGGUAAAAGCCUACCAAGGCGACGGUCCAUAGCUGGUCUGAGAGGAUGAUCAGCCACACUGGGACUGAGACACGGCCCAGACUCCUACGGGAGGCAGCAGUGGGGAAUAUUGGACAAUGGGCGAAAGCCUGAUCCAGCAAUGCCGCGUGAGUGACGAAGGCCUUAGGGUUGUAAAGCUCUUUUACCCGGGAUGAUAAUGACAGUACCGGGAGAAUAAGCUCCGGCUAACUCCGUG